rnacentral:rRNA from 1 species
AUAAGUAACGAUAAAGCGGGUGAAAAGCCCGCUCGCCGGAAGACCAAGGGUUCCUGUCCAACGUUAAUCGGGGCAGGGUGAGUCGACCCCUAAGGCGAGGCCGAAAGGCGUAGUCGAUGGGAAACAGGUUAAUAUUCCUGUACUUGGUGUUACUGCGAAGGGGGGACGGAGAAGGCUAUGUUGGCCGGGCGACGGUUGUCCCGGUUUAAGCGUGUAGGCUGGUUUUCCAGGCAAAUCCGGAAAAUCAAGGCUGAGGCGUGAUGACGAGGCACUACGGUGCUGAAGCAACAAAUGCCCUGCUUCCAGGAAAAGCCUCUAAGCAUCAGGUAACAUCAAAUCGUACCCCAAACCGACACAGGUGGUCAGGUAGAGAAUACCAAGGCGCUUGAGAGAACUCGGGUGAAGGAACUAGGCAAAAUGGUGCCGUAACUUCGGGAGAAGGCACGCUGAUAUGUAGGUGAAGUCCCUCGCGG